AGUUCACGCGAAGGGCUGGAUUUCCAGGCGGCUCCGCAACUUGCGCGGCGCGGUGUUAUUAUUCAUCCGAGGGUGCUGCCUCCUCAACCUUUGCCUCCUGCGCCGCUCUCCUUCCCCCGGCCGCCGCCGCCAGCAGUGCAGUCCCUCCGGCACGCAUGCUCUGGUUCACCAAGAGGGAGACUGAUUUUUUUUAAAUCAUGCUCAUCAUCAUCAUCAUCAUCAUCAUCAUCAUCAUCACGUUCCUUAUCAUGGUUAUCAUUUCCUCCUGCCAGGUGGAGCGACCACCAGCGCCGGCUCGCCUCCUGCGCCUUCCCCAGCGAAGGCAGCAAGCAGUUCGGGCUUGGCCGUGGCGGCCGCUCCCAGGAUGCUUCCUGCACCUCCAGCAUCCCCCCCCUUAUUCAUCUGCCUGUGUAUUAUCUCGAUCCUUUUCAUUUCAGUAGAUCCACUGCCUUUGGUUGGGCCGGCUGAAUCGCUGGGGACUGCGGCCAGUCUCUUAAAAAAGGAGAACAAAAAGCCGAAGACCUUGUGUGGCCGCCGGGACAAAGCACCUUGGGUUCGGCGAGAAGGGACGCGCAGGAGCGCUGAACCCAGAACACGCGUGGCCGCUGCGGAAGGGCGUCCGCCCGGCGUGCGGAACGCUGAGGGGACUCUCAUCCUCUGUCUCGCCCCCUUUUUUUGACCCGGGGAUCCAGCCGCAUUAUACACGAGUGACCUUUUAAAUCUACGUCCACCCUUUACCUGGUAAAGCCCGCUGACAGUUGGGGGUGGGGUGGGGAGAGUGUAGGGGUGCUCUCUCCCUCUCUCCCUCCCUCCGCCUCUCCUCCCUCCCUCCCCCCUGCACUCCUCUCUCUUCCUCCCUCCCACCUCCCUCGCUCCCGCCCUCCCUGCUGCAUUUUGCAUGAGCUAUCUAGGUCAUUAGCAUUUUAGCGUAUGCAAGACUUGACAAAGCUGAUGAGGGGCCAGAUGGGCCUCGCUCUUAUGGUUUUUUUUUCUUCUUCUUCUUCUUCUUCCUCUCUCUCUCUCUCUCUCUGUCUCUCUCUCUCUCGUCUCUCUUCCUUUCCCCCCUCCACCACUUGGGACCUGAGCGAGAGGACUGCAGCAGGCGAGUUCCGGAAGGCUGAAUCCCCAGGUCCCAGCCCCGGACCGCGGCAACUCGCCCCUGCGGCACGCCCGGCCCGGCUGCGCCCCCACUCAGCGAUGGAGGUAAAGAGGCGGCGGCCGCGCGCCCUGCCCCGGCUGCCGCUGCCGAGUCCCCGCUGCUCUCCUUGUCCUUCGCUCUCUUCUUCCUCCUCCUAGUCCCCUUCAGUUUCCUGGGCGAAGCAGAGGGCGACAUGGGUGGGUGGGUUGCUGCGCUGGGGCGAGGUGGGGUCGAUGUUGUUUUUUCAUUGUCUGGAGCUGCAGGGGAGGCGAGGCGCGGGGAAAGGGGCGAGGGGAGCCGGGGUAAUUAACACGGGGGAGGCACCCCUCCGUCUCCCACUUCCACCCACACCCCCAUCCCUCCACCCCCUCCGCUUUGCAGGAAAAAGCCUGGAUGCGAAAGGAUGGGGGAGAACAAAGAGCCUUUGGAAGACGUCGCUGUUAUCUCAUUGUCUGUGUGAUUGGGGGAGCUGCGGCGGGGAGGAUGCUGUGGUCCCUUCCUCCGGCGUUCCCCACCCCCAUCCCUCUCCCCGCUGUCAGUGCGCACGCACACGCGCCGCUUUUUAUUUCUUUUUCCUGGUUUUCUUAUUCCAUCUUCUACCCACCCCUCUUCCUUUCUUUCACCUUUCCUUCCUUCCUUCCUCCUUUCCUUCCUCAGGAGAAAGGCCUCUCUCUCCGUGUUCACAGCGGACCUUGAUUUAAAUGUCCAUACAAUUAAGGCACGCGGUGAAUGCCAAGAAUGGGGCUGGCUGAGCACCGUGGGUCGGCGAGGGCCCGCCAAGGAAGGAGCGACCGACCGAGCCAGGCGCCCUCCGCAGACCUCCGCGCAGCGGCCGCGGGCGCGAGGGGAGGGGUCUGGAGCUCCCUCCGGCUGCCUGUCCCGCACCGGAGCCCGUGGGGUGGGGAGGUGUGCAGCCUGUGACAGACAGGGGCUUAGAGAUGCAAACAGACUCAGGGAGAGAAACAGAAGCUGAUUCUGUGACAGAAGCAGAUCUGUGCAGCACAGAUGCGGUGUGCGUGGGGAGGGGGUCGCCUGGGAGCGCAUUGCGGAGUGCUUGUGUGUGCAGAUUUUUCUCUGGGCUCAGGACUCAUUGUAUGUGGGUCAACACCUUCCUCCGUGACUGUGUUUUUGUUCUGAGCUGAGUUUUUUGGUUUGCCCUUAAAAAAAUAAUAAUUUGGCAUCCAGAGACUGGCAGACUGCCUCAGGGCCUGGACUGCGGAUAUAUUGUGUUCUGCUUGAGGUUUGGGGAGGAGGGCAGGCGGUAGGAAGGGAGAGGGGGAGCUGUUUGUCACACUUUGCUGUAGAGCUGAGAGCACCUGACAAGCUUAAGGAAGUCGUUGGGCUAUGUGGACAAGAAGGAGCCAGCUCCCAGCGGGUUCACAAGCUCUAUCGGAGUUGAAAGCGUGGUCAUGGCUCUAAGGAGCACCUCACGCCCUCCCUGUAGCUGUUAUUGCAGUUUCAGGCAGAGAUCCAGGAGCUGCAGAGGAAGGGAGAGGCACAAUAACCUACAUGGACCCAAGGGAGACAUGUGUUCCUUUAAAAAUGUGAACAGAAGGAAAAACAGAAUGUGUGCAACUGGGGGUCUGAGGAAAGACUGUUUUGAAAGAGGCUGUCAGGGAAUGGAAAGGGUUAAGCUUUUCAUCCUGAAGAACCUGCUUCCCAAAUCAGGCCUUCCUCCCAUCACUAGACCCUGAGCAGCAGCUGGUCCUAGAGACCCCCCUCGUACUGCGCUGCCACAGUCUCAUCCCAUUUCCAGCUCUGUAUUAACCACCAAGCUGCAGCGGAUGGGGCAAGACCUAAGCUCAUUAAUUUCCAGGUGGAGGAAAUGGAGGAGGGGCAGGUCCCUGCAGUAGAGGGAGGAGCAGAGAAAGGAGGCCAAGAGCUGGAUCCUUCUGCCCAGGAAGCCUGCUGCAUCCCUUCCCCCGAGCAUGGCAGAGGCCUGGCUUUGCAAGGCCAAGGCCAUAAGGGAUGCUUAGGAGAUUAAUUUGAUUCCUGACACAAUAAUCAAGCCCUAAGAGUCUCCACUGAAGCUUACUGAGGACUUCUUUCCUCUCCAAAGCCUCAGUCUAGCCUGCUAAAUAAAUUAGUAUUCAGUGAUGCCUUGGAUCAGGGCCCCUCCCCGGCCUCAGUUUCCCCAAAUAUUUAUUAAGUACCUACUGUGUGCAAUCCUUGUGUAAUUAUUAACUCUUAGGCUCUUCAUUUGCCCUCCUAAAGCAGUGUUUAGAGUCAGGCAGAGGUUAAGUGUGUUGCACCUCACCUAGAUACUUCCAGAACCUUCUCUGGGUCUGCAGAAUGUGGCACAACCUGCUUGCCCCCGCAGAGAGAAAGCUGCAGUGCACAUCCUGCAGACUGCAGGUGCUGGGCUGCCUCUGGAGUCCCAGAAGGCAAGCUUGGCUGCAGGACAGAAAGGGAGAACAGCUUCUCUCACCCCUGAGCCUUCACAAGCCCUUGUCUAUUUGCCGUUGCCUUCAAAAUAUACCUCCCCCGAAACCAGUAGCUUUCUGAGUCCUGGUGUCCCCUCCGCCCUUUCUGGACAGGUUUGGGAAGAAGAAAGCAGUCAGUGCUGGGCCUUAUUGGGGUGUGAAGCGCCUUGCUCUGCCCCUUCUGCUCACUGUGAAGGCCGCUGGAUGCUUCUCUUAGGCAUGGUUUAAGCCUCCGAUUACUAAACCCCUUGCCCCACAAACGUCCACAUUGACGAGCCUCUUUUUAGUAACUGCUUCCCCGUAAUUCCUUCAGAGGUUGCUGUACCCUUCGCUGAUGUGCUGCCCUCCUGUAAAACCUCCAGAUGCCUUCCCACGUAAUGCCCCUUUCAGAUGCUUUAAGCUGAGAGCUUAAACCACAGGUACCAUGGCUGACGCCUGCCAGGUUUCUGCUGCAGAUAAUCUAUGAUGGGAGGGGCAUAUUUUUUACUUCAUUACUUAUGUAAACUCUUGUUCCAGAAAGCUUUAAUGUGUGUGGGAGUGUUCUGGGUCUAUUAGGUCUGUGCGCAUGGGUGUGGGCAUUUGCCUGUGUCCACCGGGUGGGUCUCAUUAUGAAAUGUAUGUUUAUGUAGGGCUUUAAUGGCUGAAAAUGGCAAAGAGAUGAAUAGACCACUUGGCCCCAUGUGUAAUUGCCAGGCCCCUUCUGUGCUCAAAUGAGGUGUCCGAGUGAAGGUCAGCCCUUCCCUUCUGUAUUUGGGGCCUAUUUAUGCCACCAGUAAUUUUAUAAGAAAUCUGAAUAGUUCUCCCCUUUGAGUGCAUUUAACUCUUUAGUAUCUUCUCUCUUACCUAUUUGAGCCCCUCUAGCUACAGUCUGGCUUAAAUGAAAGGGGAAUUAUAUGCUUAAGAAAAAGUAGGACACGGUUGAGGCAGUUUGCUGACUGAAUACGCGAAGAAGGACCUGAUGGGCUCAUAUGCACCACUGCCAUCACAGUCCCCAUCGUGAUGCAAGCUUAUAUGAUUCUUGAGAAACAGCCCAGAUCUCCUCUUAAGCGGAAAAGAGAUUGACCUUCUAGCAGAGGCAAAGGUAAACUCCUAAUGGAGUCUUCUGGGGGCAGCUGCAAAGCGUUCUCCCUAGGACAGAUGGAGCCUCCCUUUCCUCAUCUACUCUGUGGGUGGUUUCAGGGCCCACGAGUCAACAUGAGGAGUUGUGCUGGUGGUAUGUGUGUUGGAGGCUGGGCUGGCUGAUUCACAGUGACGAGGAUGUCAAUAAUAACAAGAAUGAGAAUGAUGGUACCUAAUAAAGACUUUUUUUCCCAAGUCCCAUCUACAAUUCUUUCAUUGGGUGUUUUGCCAAGUCUUUCUCAAUCUCAUCUCAGCUUUUUUUUUUUUUUUAAAGAAAAUGUAUUCAAUACUUAAUUGCAUCACAAAUGUAGACAUAGAAGAAAGGACUUCAAACGGAAUUUAUGGGAGGCAAUGUGUGCGGCUUUUUGCCUUAUAGAGCUGUGUAGAAGGUCUGGAAUGAUCUUCCAGCACCAAAUUUAGAUGGCCUCAAAAAAAAAAAAAAAAAAAAAAAAAUCAGGCCUUAUUGAGGGCAAGGAAUGUUCCAGGUCAGAAAUAAAAGUGUCAGCAACUCUCAAUAGGUUCAUCUUUUUAUUUCCUGUCCUUCUCCCUUUUGUCUUAAAAUAGAAACGCUACCAAGACCUGAGGGCCUGGGUCAGGGGCCGGGAAGCCCAGAAAACAAACUUCCAGAAUCACUAAGGGCUUUCUCUCUCAAAAUUACAGUGGGAGGGUUCUUUUGAAAUUCAAAUCCAACCUAUUUGUUGCUUAAGCACACACAAAAUACUGAGACCUGGGGUCCAAGAGGCAAUACUUCCGCUGCAAGUGCAUGUUGCAACUUCGCGUGAUGUUCCCAGGGCGGUUCUGCGGCAACUUGCGGCUCCGCGACUGUGGGCGCGGGCCCCAUUUCGGGCCCCGUCGGCCGGGACCGCGCCCAGGGCUUCUCAAGUGACUCGCUUCCCAGCACGCAAGAGGCAUUCUCGUCUCUUUCUCUUCGAAUGCACCCGAGACUUCUCCAUGAAGCAAGGAGAAGAUGAGCAGGCGCUGGUUUCCCUUUUCUUUUUUGCUCCCAUUUCCCAGUCUUGAUUUUUUUUUUCCCUUUCUCUCUCUCUCCCGAAUCAUGCAGACCUGGAACUCCUAAGAUUCGGGUCCUCCUGCAGUUCCCAAAGCUUUGGAUCCAUCCGAGGUGUGGGUAGAUGCGGGUUAGUCUCAGGGUCUUUCUAGGAUGAGCCCCAAGCCCAAGUUCUAAGGCGAGGGGGAGGCGAAGAGGUCAGGGCUACAAACGCCAGGGACUGUCCCCGGAGAGGUCAUUUUUCCAUUUUCCAUGCACAUCGAUUUCACUCUAGCGCCAGAUGGACACUCGACGGUCAACGUUAGAGAUUUUUCCGGAGUCGGGGGCAGGAAGCGGGACGAAUUGAGACGAGGGUACAUCCUUUGCUUCCAAGGGUGGCCGAGCCAGACCGAAGGCCUGGGCGGGAGGUCACGUCCUCCCCUGGCCACCCACAGCGCUCCCCAGCCGCAGGCCUGGGCCUAGAAGCCGCGCCCUCCCGGCCGUGCAGCCGGUCAGCCUGUGCGCCCGGCGCCCGCAGUGCGGCUCCGGGCCUCUCUCUGAUCCACUUCAGUACCUGCGGCCUCGAGGACCCCACCGUGCAUCCCGGAAAGCCUCAGAACUUGCAAGAAAGAGGGGCUGGCAGGUGCAGCCUGGGAAGAGGACCCCGCCGCGAAAGCGCUUGGGGGUUGGGUUUUAUUUGCUGGAGUGGGGGGUCCGUCUCAGUGCAUCCUCCUGGAUUCCCCAUUAGGACGCCCCGCCCAUACAUCCAGCCUCCUCUCCCGGAUACCCCCAGUGACCCGGCCAGGGAGCGGGCAUCUUCCCCCAGGACCCAGAGACGUGUCCUCGCCAUCCCCAAACACCGUCCUUCCCCACCCCCGCAACCCUCUCCACAGAAGCCAAAACCACAACAAAAAUCUUCAACCCACAAAGAAAAAGACACAUUCCUCCUUCGGCCUUAGUCAGCGUUAGUUCCAGAUCCGAAGCCGGAGGGGACGGAGCCGCUCGAAGUCGGUUGGAAGGAAGGCGCAGAAGGCUCUUUCUGUCUCCAUGAAUCUCCUUGCAAAUGCAACCGCUGCUGCCAUUAGGACGCGGUCUCUGUUUGCAAAAAAAACUCAAUUCCUUCCAUUUCCUCAUCUGUUGGGUCCAUCAGCGUGCAGUGAGUGAUGCAAGGUCCCUUUGGGUCAACAGGCCGUCCCCUGAAAUAACUUUCAGAGCCCUGGCCUCAAGGUCAUGGGCCGGGUGGCCUCUACAGGCCACAGGUCAGGACCAGGAUGUGCCUGACUGAGGCUGUGCCACCGAGAGCUUCGGACGUGCAGAAAGGUGCCCUGAGCUGCACGGGGGGCUUCUGUCAGCCCCCUCCCACUCUACACAGAUUGAUGUGGCAAUAUUUAUUCCCAUUUAAUUGAGACACUGGUUUAAUUUCAGAUUGCUUCGGCUUAAGGCCCAAUGGGGUUUUCUGCAGCUCUUUUCCCCAGUGCCUCUACAGAAAUUAAUUGCUGUUAAUAUCCAAUUUUGGCUUUAUUAUUCGUUAGCCAAUUAUGUAUCCCAUAGCCCAGGCCCCUUGCUGCUCUCAGCCUUUGCUGGAAUCAGCUCACACUAUGCCGGGCUUCUGCUUUUCUGCCUUCCCCUCUAUUCAAACUCUGUCCUCCCAAGAUGAUUUACCGGCCCGUCAGGCAUUUUGCUUGUGUCCCAGCGCUAGCUGAGCUGGCGGAGGUGUCUUUAAGACGUUUUCCCCCUUUUGAGGGAAAUGUCUUCUUUGCAGUGGACAUAAUUUCCAUUUAAAAAGGAAUCUAAGCUUCUCCACUCUCGCUUCACUAUCCUAAGAUUUGCUUUCUCUGGAGCCAUUUUUGGAGAGCAGUUUUCCAUCAAAAGCAAGCAAGGUGCCCCGGCAUCAGGGCUCCCCUCCCCACCUCCCUAGGAGCCCCUCCGAGACUGUCUUAAAGCCACCACAUAUACAUAACACCAUAGAUUCAAACAGGGUGCUUGGAGGAUGUCAUUCCACAUUUCAAGGAGGGAAACUUGAAAAAGCACUAUUUUCAGAGAUGAGGAGGGCAGCUCUCCCCUCGUCCCCCACAGAGGCCCUGGAAACCAUUCCAGCCUUGCACUGCGCAACCCUGCUUGAUGGAGCUGAUGCAACUGGGGGCGAGAGCCUUUAAAAAGUGUUCUUUUGCCUUGGUUUUUUGUGCCUUGAGUUCACAGAAGCAAACACUUCCCAUCACUGGUGCUCUGGAAACAGAAACAUACAAGUGAGAAUCCUAACGACAGCAGAGGCCCUUCUUUGUCUGCUUCCUCUCCUUCCCCCCUUGGAAAGAAUGCCUCCCAUGCCUUAAUGUGCCCUCACACUUAUCUCUAGCAGUUCCGUAACAACCUGCGCAGUGUCGGCAUCAGAACCGAAUGCAGAGAAAACAAAACGUCAGAGCCGCUGGCUUGGACUGCGGCCCCUACAGAUGAAGCCCGAGGUGGGAGGUUUUCUUCUCCGCCUGGAAAUCCUAUGGUCAGAUUUGUCGUAGGGGGGAGGUGGGUGGUGACUGUGGUGGAGGGCUGGGACAUUGUUAAGAAGGUGCCUUACGCAGAAGGCUCAAUAAAUACCACCCAAAUUGGAUGUAAUUAAAUUAGCAGCAGCUGUCCUGCUUUUCCUGUUGAAAGCUACAAUUAGGCAUGAAGGCCUCCUGGGCAAAGGCUAGUUAGAGUGGCGUCCUAGGAAAGGAGGGGGCUAACAGUGUUUCUGGUUCAUCUUCUAUCCUCAGCCCCUGCCUAGCUUGUCCAGAGGCAUGGAGUUUCUUUUCUUUUCUUUUCUUUUCUUUUUUUGUUUGCUCGUUUGUUUGUUUUUGAGAUGGAGUCUGGCUCUGUUGCCCAGGCUGGAAUGCAGUGGCAUGAUCUCGGCUCACUGCAACCUCGGUCUCCCAGUUUCAAGAGAUUCUUCUGCCUCAGCCUCCCGAGGAGCUGGGAUUACAGGCAUGCAUCACCAUGCCUGUCUCAUUUUUUGUAUUUUCAAUAGAGACAGGGUUUCACCAUGUCGGCCACGUGAAUUGGUAAUAUUCCAAAAAUAUUACCAAAGGACUGCCUAUGGUCUUGAAAUCCCGACCUCAGGUGACCCACUCGCCUUGGCCUCCCACAGUGCUGGAAUUACGGGCAGGAGCCACCGCACCCAGCUGAGUUUUAUUUUUAAAAUAGUCCAAGCAUAAAGACCCCACAUACCGUGCCC
rnacentral:lncRNA from 1 species